ensembl:lncRNA
AUGUUUGUGCAGAGAAAGCUGCGCAGCCAUCAAGAGCUACACAGAAAGAGAGAAGAACCCAGAAUUGUUUGUUUUUCCCUCAAAGCAAAGAAACAUCCUGGGAGCCAGAAAACCCCACUGAUCCUCAAAGAUGGCGAGUCCAGACCAUGGAUUCCUAUGUUCCAAAAUGCGCAGAUGGACCUGGGGAAGGUGUCCCCUGAUGUGGCAGAAGGUCGUCCCGGGCUGAUACAGACCGAGUCCUCAGUCCUGCCCUUCCUCCACAAUCCUGAUGUAGAAAUAGAGGGGCCACUGAUGUCACAGGUACCCUCCUUGCAGGAAGAGGCAGCGUGGGGCAAGGCUGGGCAGAGCAGUCCUCUGGAAGCCAGGUGGGGAUGUUCAGAGAUCAUAAUCGCAUGCUGCCCCUCAGCCCUUUUGUGCCUUCUGUCUUCUCAAAGAAGAAUCUUCUGCAAACUAAGAAGUGCAAAUCGAACAGCUGAGAGGAUGGCACAAGAGCUGCACCCAACAGGGGAAAGGAGAUCCCAGAUGCCCAAGAAUCGUCAGAUGCAGCUGAUCCUGGGGAUAAUCUCAGAGGAAUCAUGAAAAAUAACAGAGCCCUGAGAGAUAAGGAAAUUGCAGUUGUAAUUUUCAAAAAGGGAAAGAAGGUAGGUCCUGUGAGGCAUAGACGAGUUAGGUUGAUGUUGACUCUUGGCCAGAAUCUUGAAGGACGUCUGAGAAGAUGGUUUUCAAGCUCCCACAGAAGGCAUCAGCCACCCUGAAGAGCCAGCCCCGGCCUCAGAAAACACAUGGGGUCAGGUGCACUCACCUCCUUUCCCAGCAGAGCCUCUGACGGCAAGCGUGUAAGUGAGGUGGAUGAUGGCCCAUGGUCCGGGAAGGAGCAGAUGAGAAAGGAGACUGGGCUCACUGACUGUUUUUAGGUCAAAUCAGCAGAGACAAAUUCUAGCUAGUUUAAGCUGAGAAGGCAUCUUAUUCAAGGAUAUAGAACUGCUUACCAACUCUGGGAAAGGGCUAGAGAGUCGAGUUUGGGCAUCACACACAGAACCACAUCCAAAAUCAUGGGGUUGGUCCCGUGAGGACACAGAAGCUUGUCAACAGUGGCCUGGACACCACCAUUCCCACCACCGACACCAUGACCCUGGUGCCCCUAAGGGCAUCAGACUGUCCCCACUCUCUUGCGCUCCUGGGUCAGAGUUCGGCAUGAUGCCCUCCACCAUUGGAGCCCAGAUCACAUGGCCGUACCCCAGCUGCAAGGGGCACUGGGAAAGCCAGCCACUGGCAUUUUCCACCUUUCAUUCUGGGAGCUGGUCUGCACUCUAGAAAGACUCUUAAGGUAGAUAAUUACCCCAAAUAGAAAAGGGGCUCAGAUCAUGGUGACCACAGAGAUUGGCUAAUGUCCUGCUACCGCUCACAGAGGUUGAGGGACAGGGUAAUUGGGCAGGUUUAUAAAUGGUUGAAGGAUCACAGAGUUGCUAAUUAGCCAUCCUUUUUCAUCUAAAGGAAGGUUGUUACUGGCAUACCGCAGAACUCUGUGUUUCUGUGCUACACAAGAAUUUUUUUUUUUAAUCAGUGGCUUAUUCUCUCU